rnacentral:rRNA from 1 species
UUGCCUACGGGGGGCAGCAGUGAGGAAUAUUGGUCAAUGGCCGAGAGGCUGAACCAGCCAAGUCGCGUGAGGGAUGACGGCCCUACGGGUUGUAAACCUCUUUUGUCGGGGAGCAAGACCCGCCUCGUGCAGGCGGAGCGAGAGUACCCGAAGAAAAAGCAUCGGCUAACUCCGUGCCAGCAGCCGCGGUAAUACGUAGGGUGCAAGCGUUAUCCGGAUUUAUUGGGCGUAAAGGGCUCGUAGGCGGUUCGUCGCGUCCGGUGUGAAAGUCCAUCGUUUAACGGUGGAUCCGCGCCGGGUACGGG